rnacentral:rRNA from 1 species
GAGGGUCAAGUUAGAAAGGGCGUAUGGUGGAUGCCUAGGCACUUAGAGCCGAAGAAGGACGCAGCGAGCGGCGAAACGCUCCGGGGAGUCGCAAGCAGACGUAGAUCCGGAGAUCUCCGAAUGGGGAAACCCGCUUAAGGUAAUACUUAAGCAUCCCAUGGUGAACACAUAGCCAUGGGAGGGGAAACCGCGUGAACUGAAACAUCUAAGUAGCGCGAGGAGAAGAAAGAAAACAGGGCCUCCCAGCGGAGAGACUCCGCUGGGAAGGUAGUGUCGAUUUCCUAAGUAGCGGCGAGCGAAAAGGAAAGAGCCCAAACCAUCACCGCAGGUGAUGGGGUUUAGGACCACGAGAAGGUAUAUGGAGCGAAGCCGAACAGACCUGGGAAGGCAGGCCAAAGAAGGUGAAAGCCCUGUAGGCGUAAACGAAAUAUACCGAGUGGGAUCCAGAGUACCACAGGAUAGGCAACCCGGUGGGAAGACGGGAGGACCAUCUCCCAAGGCUAAAUACUCCUAAGUGACCGAUA